AAUCACCGCCACUAUUAUCAGCAGAUCUUUUACAUAUUGGACGUUCGAUUUUUAACAGAUCUAUAAAUCGAGAUUUAAGUUUUCGACUUCAACCAAAUCUCGAAAUGAAACUUCAUAAAUAUCAUCAAGAGAUUUUCUUCUUCCCAUUUUAACUGUAAUUUCAACAUCAAAUGAAGAUUAAAGCGAUUGAGAUAGAAUGUUAGGUUUUUGAUUUUGGUUUCGGUUUCUGGGACGAAACUGAGUUGCUAGUGUUGUCUCUGAUGAUGAACAAGGAGGAAUGAAAAGACUACCGUUGAUGAAUUUGAUGUUACGGUUUUGAUCCAUUUCAGAGAGGGAAAGUUGCUGCGAUUGAUGUUGUUGAUGGAUUGACGAGAUUUAAGAAGAGUUGAGAAGCAGGUUGCAGUUGAAUUUGAUGGGGUUUACAUGGGAUUUGAGUGGGAACUGUUGUUUCCAUGGUUGAUUUUCAAUGAUUUUAUGAAGAGAAUGAACUCAACUGAUAGAAGAGAUUGAUGUUGGUGUUUCUGAGAUGAAUCUCAAGAUUUUUUGAAAAUGGGUUUGAGAUGGAUCUGUGUUUGGCAGAUAGAUGACUCAAAAUUGGAGUUGGUUUAACAAUUGGAGAUGGUGGUAUUGGAGAAGAAACUGAGAAUGUGGAGGUAGAGUUGCAACAGUUGUUGCUAUACAGUGCUUGUGCAUGUUAUAUUUGAAGCUGCAGAGUGGUCGAGGCUGUUGUCGUUGUUGGUUAUUGCAAGCAACUGUUGCAGGAAAUGAACUUGUGGAGUUAGAAGGAAACAAUGAGGUUUUUCUAGGAUGGAUGGUGGUGCAGGUCUUCUGAGAUUGCAGGUGUAUGUUGGAACGUAUGAAUUGCAGGUAGUGAAACCUCGAAACGAUUAGAAUGAAGGGUUUGUAGUGGUGUUUUUGGAGAUUUAGGAGAUGACUUGUGAUGGAGAUGUUUUUGAUGAUUUUGAUAUACCUGUAGUUGUUGAGAUGGGUUUGAUAGUUCGAAGGGAUGAGGAACACUUGGUUGCAGGGUGUAAUCGUUACUGCCUGUAUGAAUGAUUACAGGGUAAGAAUGAUGCUGAGAGCUAGUUCUGUAGGUGAUUCAAUGGGUUGGUUAUGAAGCUACAUGAUUGCUACAGGAUUGCAACAGAAGAGCGUACUGAAAUGAGUUUAGAUGUUGGUUCUGGUGGUUAUAUAUGUUGUGUCAUGUGGUGUUGUAUGAAGAUGGUGACUGAUGUUGAUUUAGUAGGAGGUGUUGUUGCUUUACAAGAGCUGACAAGACUGAAAUCAAUCUUGAACUGAAAUCGGUGAUGCAGUGGGCAGGUUAAGAAGUUGUUGUAAGAUCCAGAUUUUGUUUGAAGCCAGGGAAUGAGUUAAUGAGCUGGAAUUGUAGUGACUGGUACUGGUAAAUUGUGGUGGUGAUCAAAUGGAAUGUGCUGUUAAGGUUGUUACUGUGAUUGUUAGUACAUAACCCUGCUAUAGUAUUGUUU